rnacentral:lncRNA from 1 species
AUGGGGGACUUUUUCCUUCACAGCACCUCGAACACAAUCACCAAGAUGCCAGAAAUUAUUUGCCACCCUCCCACAGACGGAGAGGAAAUGGAGAGGAGUGGCCUGGAGUUGUCCCUUUGUAAUAACUUCACAGCAGUAAAAGACAUUUGUUGCAUCUCAUUCCAGGAGGAUUCAGUCACGUGUGACCAUUUAACAGCAGACAAAUCUGACAGCAGUCAUUUGGAGAGCACAGAGAGUGGAGAUACCCCUCACUCUGCUGCAGCACUUGAGCUUGACAGAGAUCACAUUUUGGACAGAAGUGAGGACCCAGUCUCCUGGUCAGAAAACAGUGGCUCUCCGGAGAGUCUGGAGUUAUCAGAGACAUUAAGCGCUCAUUGCAAUCCAACAACACAACUGCAUAGUCACCAUGAACCCACAGAAACAGAACCAGCAGACAACGGUGUAGAUGAAGUAAAGCCAUCUGAGGGGCCUCAUCGUCUGAGCCUCCAGGCCUUGCUAAAGAAAUCUCAGGAGUAUCGGCGGCGCCAGCGGAUGCUUAGGAACCAAGCCAAAAACUCUUGCGUCAAGGAGAGGACUCAGGAGCCAAAACCAAGGCCAGAGGAGCAUAGCCUCUCUGAUAAGGAGAAUGACGAGUGCCCUUACAAGGGGAGUGUGACGAUGGAGGGGAAGAAAAGUAAAGAGAGGAGAGGCUCUUUAAGUCCAACAGUGGAGAAUUCCUCAUUAAAGAAAUCCUUGGAUAAUGAAAGAAUGAAUGAGAAUGAGUCCAUUGGGAAAAAGACCAACGUUAAAUCUGAAAGCAAUCAAUUAACGGGAGAUAUGAAUACUAAGGAAAUGAUAAGAGUUGAGGAAGAAACAACCUUCAAAAAUAAUAAGCUAAACAGUUCACAAGAGGUCAUAAUAGAGCCUGAGCAAAUCAGCGUCUUCAUCCAGCAGCAGCCUGAGUUGACAGAAGCCUCCCCAAUCCAGGAAGCCUUUUCCAUGACCAUUGAGCAGAGUGACAGCUGUCCCACAGGUAUUUUUCAAGGAGUAGGGAAACAUUACACUAUCCCAGUCCCUAAUUUCUGUAUGAGUCCUGUUCAUUCCAAAAGCAAAGGAAGUAUCAGAGAUGGAGAAACCAUUGAUGUAGCAGAAAACUCAAAGGGGAAAGUUGUAGACAAUACAAGCUUGAAUGAAGACCACAGUGUUGAAGAAGGAAGUAACCGGGGGGACACAGCAGUUCCUUCCUAUGUGAAUGGGAUGGUUCAAGGUGAUGUAACGGGCGUUUUAGCAAAGAGCUCAGAGUGCAUCGAUCAGCUUGAAACGAACCUCUCCAGUCUGAAUGUGCUGAUUUCAGAUCUGGAGUCCACGGUGAAGGAACACUUGGAGAAUCGCAGUCCGACUGAGAGCGACACGCAAAGCGAGCUCAGUUUUAAAGAUGUUGAGCACUCUGUGCAAAGUAAACACAACCUACAUGUGCAGCUAUGUCAACACGUGGGUGAUUAUUUGGAGGACAGGCUGGGGGACGAUGAUCCUGACAGCAGUGAUACAGAAUACAGGGACUUGCCAAGAAGACAAUCAUUCGACAAACGCAAAUACAUGAAUGAAGGUCCAGGGACUGAACCAGUCUUCAGUGACGCUGAUGACAAUCCUCUCAUCGUGCAGGGAAAAGGAAAAGAGGCAGUUAAUUUAAGAGAGAUAAGGCCAGUCAACGCCUUAGCUUCAGAGAGGCUAAAGGAAAACGGAACAGGUAACGAAGGAUUCACAAAGCGCGGUGGACUGCAUGGCAGCUGUAGAAAGCAGCAGCCACUUGCUAGAUGUUUCCUGUCUGCAGCACAGCGUAUGCGUAUUCCUGAUGCAUUCAGAAACAUCCCAUCCCACAUAAUGGUUCCGUGUAACCUGUCGAUGCUUUUGGACACCAGUAACCAUCCCGUAGAAAGGGGCCAAGACUCUCCCCUCUCGCCAUCUCUCAACCAGUCGUACGAUGUGGACGCGCCAUCUGGCCUGUGGCUCCUUGACGGGUCAGAGUCCGACUUCGGCUCCAAAGGUCAUCUUUUUCAAGAGAAGCACCAGACCCCGGAGAGCGGGGGCGAAGGUUGGGGCGGGGUAUCCAAGGUCAAACGCAGACUGCUCAUGCAUGUCACAGAAGAGACCAGGGAAAAGAGUGCAGAAACCAGUGGACGAGCAGGCUGUGUGGUCCGACCGAGCUCCAGCACUCCCACAGCUGCUUUGUGGUUGUACGAAGGCCACGGCUGCCGGAAAAACAAGCAGGAACUAUUGAAACAGGCCCAUGCCGCCCAGAUCAGAGUCCCUGCAAGACGAGCACAGGAGGCAACAGGAACAACUGCUACAGCCCUCCACCCCGGCGUCAGAGCGCUGCCGCCAUCUGCUGUCAGCGGCCGUGAAGGGUUUUCUAACUCGCAGGCUGCUGAGGACGGAGAGAGUGGCACAGCAGGUGCGCACCAUCAGGGACACGCAGCAGUUCCUGCUUGCCCUCAAGCUGCAGAGCCCCAGCAGAGUGUUGUGUAG